CCUACGGGUGGCAGCAGUGGGGAAUAUUGGACAAUGGGCGAAAGCCUGAUCCAGCCAUGCCGCGUGUGUGAAGAAGGCCUUCGGGUUGUAAAGCACUUUCAGUGGGGAAGAAAGCCUUGGGGCUAAUACCCUCGAGGAAGGACAUCACCCACAGAAGAAGCACCGGCUAACUCCGUGCCAGCAGCCGCGGUAAUACGGAGGGUGCGAGCGUUAAUCGGAAUUACGGGGCGUAAAGCGCGCGUAGGCGGUCUGAUAAGCCGGUUGUGAAAGCCCCGGGCUCAACCUGGGAACGGCAUCCGGAACUGUCAGGCUAGAGUGCAGGAGAGGAAGGUAGAAUUCCCGGUGUAGCGGUGAAAUGCGUAGAGAUCGGGAGGAAUACCAGUGGCGAAGGCGGCCUUCUGGACUGACACUGACGCUGAGGUGCGAAAGCGUGGGUAGCAAACAGGAUUAGAUACCCCAGUAGUC
rnacentral:rRNA from 1 species